AUAUAAAUAGUUUAAAUAAAACAUUGAUUUGUGGAAUCAAAAAUUUAAAAUUAUUAAUUUAUAUA
rnacentral:tRNA from 1 species